CCUACGGGAGGCAGCAGUAGGGAAUCUUCCGCAAUGGACGAAAGUCUGACGGAGCAACGCCGCGUGAGCGAAGAAGGCCUUCGGGUCGUAAAGCUCUGUUGUUAGGGAAGAACAAGUAACGCAGUAACUGGCGUUACUAUGACGGUACCUAACGAGAAAGCCACGGCUAACUACGUGCCAGCAGCCGCGGUAAU
rnacentral:rRNA from 1 species